CCUCCGUAGGUGAACCUGCGGAGGGAUCAUUACAGAGUUGCAAAACUCCCUAAACCAUUGUGAACGUUACCUAAACCGUUGCUUCGGCGGGCGGCCCGGGUCCUUCCCGGCGCCCCUCGGCCCUCGCGGGCGCCCGCCGGAGGUAAACCAAACUAUUGCAUUGUAUGGCCUCUCUGAGUCUUCUGUACUGAAUAAGUCAAAACUUUCAACAACGGAUCUCUUGGUUCUGGCAUCGAUGAAGAACGCAGCGAAAUGCGAUAAGUAAUGUGAAUUGCAGAAUUCAGUGAAUCAUCGAAUCUUUGAACGCACAUUGCGCCCGCCAGUAUUCUGGCGGGCAUGCCUGUUCGAGCGUCAUUUCAACCAUCAAGCCCCGGGCUUGUGUUGGGGACCUGCGGCUGCCGCAGGCCCUGAAAUGCAGUGGCGGGCUCGCUGUCACUCCGAGCGUAGUAGUUACAUCUCGCUCUGGGCGUGCUGCGGGUUCCGGCCGUUAAAAGCCUUAUUUACCCAAGGUUGACCUCGGAUCAGGUAGGAAGACCCGCUGAACUUAAGCAUAUCAAUAAGC
rnacentral:rRNA from 1 species